AGUGAACGCUGGCGGUAGGCCUAACACAUGCAAGUCGAACGGCAGCACAGUAAGAGCUUGCUCUUACGGGUGGCGAGUGACGGACGGGUGAGGAAUACAUCGGAAUCUACUUUUUCGUGGGGGAUAACGUAGGGAAACUUACGCUAAUACCGCAUACGACCUACGGGUGAAAGCAGGGGAUCUUCGGACCUUGCGCGAUUGAAUGAGCCGAUGUCGGAUUAGCUAGUUGGCGGGGUAAAGGCCCACCAAGGCGACGAUCCGUAGCUGGUCUGAGAGGAUGAUAAGCCACACUGGAACGGAGACACGGUCCAGACUCCUACGGGAGGCAGCAGUGGGGAAUAUUGGACAAUGGGCGCAAGCCUGAUCCAGCCAUACCGCGUGGGUGAAGAAGGCCUUCGGGUUGUAAAGCCCUUUUGUUGGGAAAGAAAAGCAGCAGGUUAAUACCCCGCUGUUCUGACGGUACCCAAAGAAUAAGCACCGGCUAACUUCGUG
rnacentral:rRNA from 1 species